GUUUCUAUGGUGUAGCUUGCACAUUAGAUUUUCAUUCUAAAGGAAUAAAUUAAUUUAUUAGAAAU
rnacentral:tRNA from 1 species